rnacentral:rRNA from 1 species
UACGUAGGGUGCGAGCGUUGUCCGGAAUUAUUGGGCGUAAAGAGCUUGUAGGCGGUUUGUCGCGUCUGCUGUGAAAAUCCGAGGCUCAACCUCGGACUUGCAGUGGGUACGGGCAGACCAGAGUGUGGUAGGGGAGACUGGAAUUCCUGGUGUAGCGGUGAAAUGCGCAGAUAUCAGGAGGAACACCGAUGGCGAAGGCGGCAUCCUGGACCGGCAUUGACGCUGAGGAGCGAAAGCCAGGGGAGCAAACGGG